rnacentral:rRNA from 1 species
UGGGUAGCAAUACCUGAUGACGACCGGCAAACGGGUGCGGAACACGUACGCAACCUUCCCAUAACUGGUGAAUAGCCCUCCGAAAGGAGGAUUAAUACACCGUAACAUAACGAAGAGGCAUCUCUUUGUUAUUAUAGGCUUCGGCCGGUUUUGGAUGGGCGUGCGCCUGAUUAGGUAGUUGGCGGGGUAACGGCCCACCAAGCCUGCGAUCAGUAACUGGUGUGAGAGCACGACCAGUCACACGGGCACUGAGACACGGGCCCGACUCCUACGGGAGGCAGCAGUAAGGAAUAUUGGUCAAUGGACGAAAGUCUGAACCAGCCAUGCCGCGUGAAGGAUUAAGGCCCUCUGGGUUGUAAACUUCUUUUAUCUGGGACGAAAAAAGGGUAUUCUUACUCACUUGACGGUACCAGAGGAAUAAGCACCGGCUAACUCCGUGCCAGCAGCCGCGGUAAUACGGAGGGUGCAAGCGUUAUCCGGAUUUACUGGGUUUAAAGGGUGCGUAGGUGGGUUUGUAAGUCAGUGGUGAAAUCUCCGAGCUUAACUCGGAAACUGCCAUUGAUACUAUAGAUCUUGAAUUAUCUGGAGGUAAGCGGAAUAUGUCAUGUAGCGGUGAAAUGCUUAGAUAUGACAUAGAACACCAAUUGCGAAGGCAGCUUACUACGGAUAUAUUGACACUGAGGCACGAAAGCGUGGGGAUCAAACAGGAUUAGAUACCCUGGUAGUCCACGCCCUAAACGAUGGAUACUCGACAUCAGCGAUACACUGUUGGUGUCUGAGCGAAAGCAUUAAGUAUCCCACCUGGGAAGUACGAUCGCAAGAUUGAAACUC